UACGGGGGGGCAAGCGUUGUUCGGAAUUACUGGGCGUAAAGGGCGCGUAGGCGGCCUUCUAAGUCGGACGUGAAAUCCCUCGGCUUAACCGAGGAACUGCGUCCGAUACUGAAAGGCUUGAAUCCGGGAGAGGGAUGUGGAAUUCCAGGUGUAGCGGUGAAAUGCGUAGAGAUCGGGAGGAACACCAGUGGCGAAGGCGGCUACCUGGACCAGCACUGACACUGAAGCACGAAAGCGUGGGGAGCAAACAGGG
rnacentral:rRNA from 1 species